GACGAACGCUGGCGGCGUGCUUAACACAUGCAAGUCGAGCGGUAAGGCCCUUUCGGGGGUACACGAGCGGCGAACGGGUGAGUAACACGUGGGUGACCUGCCCUCAGCUCUGGGAUAAGCCCGGGAAACUGGGUCUAAUACCGGAUAUGACUCCAUGACGCAUGUUGUGGGGUGGAAAGCCUUGUGCGGCUGAGGAUGGGCCCGCGGCCUAUCAGCUUGUUGGUGGGGUGAUGGCCACCAAGGCGACGACGGGUAGCCGGCCUGAGAGGGCGACCGGCCACACUGGGACUGAGAUACGGCCCAGACUCCUACGGGAGGCAGCAGUGGGGAAUCUUGCGCAAUGGGCGAAAGCCUGACGCAGCGACGCCGCGUGAGGGAUGAC
rnacentral:rRNA from 1 species